rnacentral:misc_RNA from 1 species
UCGUAACAAGGUUUCCGUAGGUGAACCUGCGGAAGGAUCAUUACCGAGUGCGGGCUGCCUCCGGGCGCCCAACCUCCCACCCGUGACUACCUAACACUGUUGCUUCGGCGGGGAGCCCUCUCGGGGGCGAGCCGCCGGGGACUACUGAACUUCAUGCCUGAGAGUGAUGCAGUCUGAGUCUGAAUAUAAAAUCAGUCAAAACUUUCAACAAUGGAUCUCUUGGUUCCGGCAUCGAUGAAGAACGCAGCGAACUGCGAUAAGUAAUGUGAAUUGCAGAAUUCAGUGAAUCAUCGAGUCUUUGAACGCACAUUGCGCCCCCUGGCAUUCCGGGGGGCAUGCCUGUCCGAGCGUCAUUGCUGCCCAUCAAGCCCGGCUUGUGUGUUGGGUCGUCGUCCCCCCCGGGGGACGGGCCCGAAAGGCAGCGGCGGCACCGUGUCCGGUCCUCGAGCGUAUGGGGCUUUGUCACCCGCUCGAUUAGGGCCGGCCGGGCGCCAGCCGACGUCUCCAACCAUUUUCUUCAGGUUGACCUCGGAUCAGGUAGGGAUACCCGCUGAACCUAAGCAUAUC